CCUACGGGGGGCGGCAGUGGGGAAUAUUGGGCAAUGGGCGCAAGCCUGACCCAGCAACGCCGCGUGAAGGAAGAAGGCUUUCGGGUUGUAAACUUCUUUUAAGAGGGAAGAGAAGAAGACGGUACCUCUUGAAUAAGCUACGGCUAACUACGUGCCAGCAGCCGCGGUAAUUCGUAGGUGGCAAGCGUGGUCCGGAUUUACUGGGUGUAAAGGGCGGGCAGCCGGGCUGACAAGGCAGAUGUGAAAUCCCGCGGCUCAACCGCGGAACUGCAUUUGAAACUGUCAGUCUUGAGUCCCGGAGAGGUCAUCGGAAUUCCUUGUGUAGCGGUGAAAUGCGUAGAUAUAAGGAAGAACACCAGUGGCGAAGGCGGAUGACUGGACGGCAACUGACGGUGAGGCGCGAAAGCGUGGGGAGCAAACAGGAUUAGAUACCCCAGUAGUC
rnacentral:rRNA from 1 species